rnacentral:rRNA from 1 species
GUGGGGAAUAUUGGACAAUGGGCGAAAGCCUGAUCCAGCCAUGCCGCGUGUGUGAAGAAGGUCUUCGGAUUGUCAAGCACUUUAAGUUGGGAGGAAGGGCAGUAAGUUAAUACCUUGCUGUUUUGACGUUACCGACAGAAUAAGCACCGGCUAACUUCGUGCCAGCAGCCGCGGUAAUACGAAGGGUGCAAGCGUUAAUCGGAAUUACUGGGCGUAAAGCGCGCGUAGGUGGUUUUGUAAGUUGGAGGUGAAAUCCCCGGGCUCAACCUGGGAACUGCGUCAAAAACUGCAUGACUAGAGUACGGUAGAGGGUAGUGGAAUUUCCUGUGUAGCGGUGAAAUGCGUAGAUAUAGGAAGGAACACCAGUGGCGAAGGCGACUACCUGGACUGAUACUGACACUGAGGUGCGAAAGCGUGGGGAGCAAACAGGAUUAGAUACCCCGGUAGUCC